UUUUUAUUUUUAUUUUAUUUUAUUUCAAAUAAAAUAAGAAUUUGAUUGGGGUGAUAUAAAAAUUUAUGAAACUUUUUUUAUUAUAUUCAUGGAUAAAUGAAUUAAAUUUAACUUUAAAUUAAAAAUUUAGAUUAAAA
rnacentral:rRNA from 1 species